rnacentral:lncRNA from 1 species
AAUAAUGUAGCCCUUAAAUAAUUAUUUUAAACCGUUUGUUUUUUGUCUGGUGUAUUCCAGGAUGCGCUGGAUAGCUUCAUUUUUGAAAAUGUCCCUGAAGAUGCUCUGAGGACAAAAUACUUAUGUAAGAUUUAAUAAAAUAAAUAACUGCUCGA